rnacentral:rRNA from 1 species
AUUGAACGCUGGCGGCAGGCCUAAAACAUGCAAGUCGAACGAGUGGCGGACGGGUGAGUAAUGUCUGGGAAACUGCCUGAUGGAGGGGGAUAACUACUGGACACGGUAGCUAAUACCGCAUACCAUCAGAUGUGCCCAGAUGGGAUUAGCUUGUGGGGGGGGUAACGGCUCACAAAGGCGACGAUCCCUAGCUGGUCUGAGAGGAUGACCGGCCACACGGGAACUGAGACACGGCCCAGACUCCUACGGGAGGCAGCAGUAGGGAAUAUUGCGCAAUGGGCGCAAGCCUGAUGAAGCCAUGCCGCGUGUAUGAAGAAGGACUUCGGGUUGUAAAGUACUUUCGGUGGGGAGGCGUUACCCACAGAAGAAGCACCGGCUAACUCCGUGCCAGCAGCCGCGGUAAUUC